GCCGUCGUCGACCAGUGGUAGGUCGCCUUCACACAGUUAGGAAGCUUGCUACUGUACAAGAAGGAGCCGGGGGUUCGACUCCCUCCGACGGCA